GGGGGUAUAGCUCAUUGGUAGAGCAUUCGACUGCAGAUGUCCCCGGUUCAACCCCGGAUGCCUCCU
rnacentral:tRNA from 1 species